rnacentral:lncRNA from 1 species
GAUAAACUUUUCCUAAAGCAUAUUAUUCUUGAGAAGCAAACCAGAGCUGCAGAAGAGCUUCAAGUCUGUUGUUUCCCAUAGCGUCGAUGGAUAGGCAUUUGUUCUUCACUUGGCGAUCAACAAAUCUGACCAGCAGUGCAGUAGGCAUGGGGUUUGAGCCAUGACGUCUUUCAUUCCUUUCCCUCCAGAGAGUGUGAAUGGUUGCUUGGAAAACAAAUCACACCAGAAAUCUGACCCUGCAAUCGAGAGUGUUGUUGACUAGCAAAAGAAUCAAACU